GAUGAACGCUGGCGGCGUGCUUAACACAUGCAAGUCGAACGAAGCACUUUAUUUGAUUUCCUUCGGGACUGAUUAUUUUGUGACUGAGUGGCGGACGGGUGAGUAACGCGUGGGUAACCUGCCUUGUACAGGGGGAUAACAGUUGGAAACGGCUGCUAAUACCGCAUAAGCGCACGGCAUCGCAUGAUGCAGUGUGAAAAACUCCGGUGGUAUAAGAUGGACCCGCGUUGGAUUAGCUAGUUGGUGAGGUAACGGCCCACCAAGGCGACGAUCCAUAGCCGACCUGAGAGGGUGACCGGCCACAUUGGGACUGAGACACGGCCCAAACUCCUACGGGAGGCAGCAGUGGGGAAUAUUGCACAAUGGGCGAAAGCCUGAUGCAGCGACGCCGCGUGAGCGAAGAAGUAUUUCGGUAUGUAAAGCUCUAUCAGCAGGGAAGAUAAUGACGGUACCUGACGAAGAAGCACCGGCUAACUACGUG
rnacentral:rRNA from 1 species